rnacentral:rRNA from 1 species
GACGAACGCUGGCGGCGUGCUUAACACAUGCAAGUCGAACGGAAAGGCCCUGCUUUUGUGGGGUGCUCGAGUGGCGAACGGGUGAGUAACACGUGAGUAACCUGCCCUUGACUUUGGGAUAACUUCAGGAAACUGGGGCUAAUACCGGAUCGGAGCUCCUGCUGCAUGGUGGGGGUUGGAAAGUUUCGGCGGUUGGGGAUGGACUCGCGGCUUAUCAGCUUGUUGGUGGGGUAGUGGCAUACCCAGGCUUUGACGGGUAGCCGGCCUGAGAGGGUGGCCGGCGUCAUUGGGACUGAGAGACGGACCAGAGUCCUACAGGGGGCAGCAGGGGGGAAUAUUGCACAAUGGGCGGGAGUCUGAUACAGCAACGCUGCGGUCGUGAUGACGGCCUGCGGGGUGUAAACCGCUUUCGCCUGUGACGAAGCGUUAGUGACGGUAAUGGGUAAAGAAGCACCGGCUAACUACGUG